GCUUACGGCCAUACCACCCUGAACACGCCGAUCUCGUCCGAUCUCGGAAGCUAAGCAGGGUCGGGCCUGGUUAGUACUUGGAUGGGAGAAACCGCCUGGGAAUACCAGGUGCUGUAAGCU
rnacentral:rRNA from 1 species